ensembl:snRNA predicted gene, 23587
GUGUUCACUUCGACACCACAUAUACUAAAAUAGAAAUUAUACAGUGGAGAUUAGUGUGGCCCUGCCCGAGGGUAACACACAGAU